UACAGAGGUCCCAAGCGUUGUUCGGAUUCACUGGGCGUAAAGGGUGCGCAGGCGGCUCUGAAAGUCAGAUGUGAAAGCCCCGGGCUUAACCUGGGAACUGCAUUUGAUACUCUGGAGCUUGAGUACGGGAGAGGAUAGUGGAAUUCCCAGUGUAGAGGUGAAAUUCGUAGAUAUUGGGAAGAACACCGGUGGCGAAGGCGGCUAUCUGGACCGUAACUGACGCUGAGGCGCGGAAAGCGUGGGGAGCAACAGGGAUUAAGAAACCC
rnacentral:rRNA from 1 species